AAAUUAGUUCGCCUAAUAUAAUAAUGAUUUCAUUUAUUAUCAUCUUCGACCUCCACCGUUCACAAAGUACUUAUUUACUUUAAUGAAGCUUUUUAAAGCUCCAAAGCGCAAUGAAAGUGUUAAAUCCAGUUACUUGUCAUCGCAUCUGGCACGUCAUGAAAAUGCCAUGCUCUCCACAAUGCGACAAACCAGCCUAGUAACGUUGCGACGAUUUGAUUUCAUGAUGACAGAGGAUAGGAAUUUGUUUGACAAUUUACGAUGGGAGGAAGAUGUUGUGCAAAGUCGCAUUGUCGAAAUUGUGGCUUCACUAGGCGACUCCUGAAGAAUAAAUGUACGCAGCAGAAGAUAAGAUAAUAUCUUUGUUGAAAGGAUCGCAAAAUGGAGCAUCAGUUCGAGACUUCAUAGAUUCGAUUGAUCAUUCAAGGAAACAGAAACAGAACAAAUGCUUUUGCACGAGAAUGAAUUAUAAAUUUUAAUUUAUAAAAAUUUAUUUUUUUAAAUUUUUAUCUACAAUAUCC